CAAAACGCACAAAUAUCAUACCCUCAAGACAUGCUAACCUCUCAUCGUUACAAUAACAGGUACGGGUUAGCAUGUUAUAUCAUACCCUCAAGACAUGCUAACCUCUCAUCGUUACAAUAACAGGUACGGGUUAGCAUGUUAUAUCAUACCCUCAAGACAUGCUAACCUCUCAUCGUUACAAUAACAGGGGAGGUUAGAAUUUUUUUGCGGUGGUAUAAGUCAUCACAAGUCAUUCCCUAAUCAUGGUAGCAUCAACAUUAAUGUAGAAGUGUUUAGAAAUAUAUUCAUUUCUUAUUUAUAAUAAAAGUUACACCAAAAUGACACAAUACAUGAUUUACCAUUGAUUUCUAAAUGGGCACAACAUAAUUUGAAACAGAACGUACACAAACUUAAUCCAACAAGUUUGUAGAGUCACAAACUUGAUGUAGUCAUUGAUUGCUAUGAAUAUGGGAUCAAAUACUUCUGUUUUUCUACUUUAAUGCACAUAAGGGAAUUUGUCCCAAUACUUUUGGUCCCCUAAAAUGAGGAGAAUAUGUCCAAAAAGUGCUGUAAUCUCGAAACCGUUCACCUGAUAUGGAUAAAAAUACCCUCUAAUUAAAGCUGACAGUCUGCAAUGUAUUAUUUCCAAUCCAAAGUGCUGGAGUACAGAACCAAAACAACAAUAACAUGUGACACUGUCCCAACACUGCUGGAGCUUACUGAAUAUGUGGUCAUAUACAAAUAUAAGCAAGGUUUGAAAUGAUUACAUUUUAGUCAAAUAUUAUAUAUUUUUGGACUUCUUGCAGUCAAUUUGCAGUCUACAAAUAAUUUGUAAUUAUAUUCUGGCCCCCUGACCAUCCUCUCAAGGAAAAAUCAGCCUGUGGCUGAAUCUAGUUGAUGAUCCUUUCUAUAGAAAUUGUAUAGAAUCAGCUUGACCCCCUCUGUCGAAGAUUCUUGGACCUUCUUUUUUGAUAUUUUCAGUGGUAUUGUUAACAAACACGCCCCCAUGAAGAAAAUGAGAAUUAAAACAGGUUUCAGCCUCUGGAUUGACCGUGAUCUUGCAGAGUUACUCCACCUCAAGAAUUGCAUUUGGUGAAAGGCAAAAGACAGACCAAAGACAGACAUUCUGACUGGGUGUCGUUCAGGCAAAUGAGAAAUAAAUGCACUCAGGCUAUCCAGAAGGCCAAAGUUAGUUACCUUAAGGAGCACUACUCUCUCUGAGUAAUUUCGGUGUUCCUCAAGGUUCCGUUUUAGGACCACUUAUUUUCACUAUAUAUUUUACCUCUUGGGGAUGUCAUUCGAAAACAUAAUGUUAACUUUUACUGCUAUGCGGAUGACACAUAGCUGUACAUUUCAAUGAAACAUGGUGAAGCCCCAAAAUUGCCCUCGCUAGAAGCCUGUGUUUCAGACAUAAGGAAGUGGAUGGCUGCAAACUUUCUACUUUUAAACUCAGACAAAACAGAGAUGCUUGUUCUAGGUCCCAAGAAACAAAGAUCUUCUGUUGAAUCUGACAAUUAAUCUUGAUGGUUGUACAGUCGUCUCAAAUAAAACUGUGAAGGACCUCGGUGUUACUCUGGACCUUGAUCUCCCUUUUGACGAACAUAUCAAGACUGUUUCAAGGACAGCUUUUUUCAUUCUACAUAACCUCUCUGAACCACCCAUAUUGGAUCCUGGAUAAUUGUCAUCAGCAACGCUGAAUAGCAUAGCGCCACAGUCAAAUAAUAUUACUAGAAAAUAUUAAUAUUCAUGAAAUCACAAGUGCAAUAUUGCAAAACACAGCUUAGCCUUUUGUUAAUUCACCUGUCGUCUCUGAUUUUGGAAAUUAUGCUUUACAGCGAAAGCAAUACAUGCGUUUGUGUAAGUUUAUCGAUUGCUCGACAAAAUAAUAAGUACACUUAGAAUCAGGCAACUUGGUCACGAAAAUCAGAAAAGCAAUCAAAUUAAUCAUUUACCUUUGAUGAUCUUUGGAUGUUUUUACUCACAAGACUCCCAGUUAGACAACAAAUGUUCCUUUUGUUCCAUAAAGAUAUUUUUUAUAUCCAAAUACCUCUGUUAGUUUGGUGCGUUAUGCCCAGGAAUCCACCGGAAAGAGCGGUCACGACAACACAGACAAAAAUUCCAAAUUAUAUCCAUAAUGUCCACAUAAACAUGUCAAAUGUUUUUUAUAAUAAAUCCUCAUGUUUUUCAAAUAUCUAUUAGAUAAUAUAUCAACCGGGACAGUUGGCUUUUCACUAGGACCGGGAGUAACAAUGCCCGCCUUUCUCUUUUGCGCACAACUCACUCUGAGAGCCCCCACCUAUCCACUUACGCAAUGUGGUCGUUCACGCUCAUUCUUCAAAAUAAAUGCCUGAAACAAUGUCUGAAGACUGUUGACACCUUGAGGAAGCGAUAGGAAAAGGAAUCUGGUUGAUAUCCCUUUAAAUGGAGCAAUGGGAGGCUAUGGAACAUGGAGUUUUCAAAAUAGAAGCCACUUCCUAGUUUGAUUUUUCUCAGGGUUUCACCUGCAAUAUCAGUUCUGUUAUACUCACAGACAAUAUUUUGACAGUUUUGGACACUUUAGAGUGUUUUCUAUCCUAAUCUGUCAAUUACAUGCAUAUUCUAGCAUCUGGUCCUGAGAAAUAGGCCGUUUAAUUUGGGAACGUUAUUUUUCCAAACAUAAAAAUAGUGCCCCCUAGCUUCAAGAGGAUAACAUUGCAAAAAUCAGAAACUUUCUGUCCAAAAAUGAUGCAGAAAGAUUAAUCCAUGCUUUUGUUACUUCUAGGUUAGACUACUGCAAUGCUCUACUUUCCGGCUACCCAGAUAAAGCACUAAAUAAACUUCAGUUAGUGCUAAAUACGGCUGCUAGAAUCCUGACUAGAACCAAACAAUUUGAUCAUAUUCCUCCAGUGCUAGCCUCCCUACACUGGCUUCCUGUCAAGGCAAGGGCUGAUUUAAAGGUUUUACUGCUAACCUACAAAGCAUUACAUGGGCUUGCUCCUACCUAUCUUUCUGAUUUGGUCCUGCCGUACAUACCUACACGUACGCUACGGUCACAAGACGCAGGCCUCCUAAUUGUCCCUAGAAUUUCUAAGCAAACAGCUGGAGGCAUGGCUUUCUCCUAUAGAGCUCCAUUUUAUGGAAUGGUCUGCAUUCCCAUGUGAGAGACGCAGACUCGGUCUCAACCUAUUAGUCUUUACUGAAGACUCAUCUCUUCAGUGGGUCAUAUGACUGAGUGUAGUCUGGCCCAGGAGUGUGAAGGUGAACGGAAAGGCUCUGGAGCAACGAACCGCCCUUGCUGUCUCUGCCUGGCCGGUUCCCCUCUCUCCACUGGGAAUCUCUGCCUCUAACCCUAUUACAGGGGCUGAGUCACUGGCUUACUGGUGCUCUUUCAUGUCGUCUCUAGGAAGGGUGCGUCACUUGAGAGGGUUGAGUCACUGACGUGAUCUUCCUGUCUGGGUUGGCGCCCCCCCCUUGGGUUGUGCCGUGGCAGAGAUCUUUGUGGGCUAUACUCGGCCUUGUCUCAGGAUGGUAAGUUGGUGGUUGAAUAAAUCCCUCUAGUGGUGUGGGGGCUGUGCUUUGGCAAAGUGGGUGGGGUUAUAUCCUUCCUGUUUGGCCCUGUCCGGGGGUAUCAUUGGAUGGGGCCACAGUGUCUCCUGACCCCUCCUGUCUCAGCCUCUAGUAUUUAUGCUGCAGUAGUUUAUGUGUCGGGGGACUCGGGUCAGUUUGUUAUAUCUGGAGUACUUCUCCUGUCUUAUCCGGUGUCCUGUGUGAAUUUAAGUAUGCUCUCUCUAAUUCUCUCUUUCUCUCUUUCUUUCUCUCUCUCGGAGGACCUGAGUGCUAGGACCAUGCCUCAGGACUACCUGGCAUGAUGACUCCUUGCUGUCCCCAGGCCACCUGGCCGUGCUGCUGCUCCAGUUUCAACUGUUUUGCCUGCGGCUAUGGAAUCCUGACCUGUUCACCGGACUUGCUACCUGUCCCAGACCUGUUGUUUUCAACUCUCUAGAGACAGCAGGAGUGGUAGAUAUACUCUUAAUGAUCGGCUAUGAAAAGCCAACUGACAUUUACUCCUGAGGUGCUGGCUUGCUGCACCCUCAACAACUACUGUGAUUAUUAUUAUUUGACCAUGCUGGUCAUUUAUGAACAUUUGAACAUCUUGGCCAUGUUCUGUUAUAAUCUCCACCUGGCACAGCCAGAAGAGGACUGGCCACCCCUCAUAGCCUGGUUCCUCUCUAGGUUUCUUCCUUGGUUUUGGCCUUUCUAGGGAGUUCUUCCUAGCCACCGUGUUUCUACACCUGCAUUGUUUACUGUUUGGGGUUUUAGGCUGGGUUUCUGUACAGCACUUUGAGAUAUCAGCUGAUGUACGAAGGGCUAUAUAAAUAAAUUUGAUUUGAAAAAGGUUAAAUACCUGGAGAAUAAACCCUCUUCCUCACAGCCAUGUCCCUUAAUGUUGAUGAUGCAGUUGUUAUUGACAAUAAGCACAUGGCUGAGCUCUUUCAUCACCACUUCAAGUAAGUCAGGAUUCCUAUUUGACUCAGCCAUGCCUCCUUGCCCGUCCAACAUUUCCUCAUCUCCCACCCCUUGUAAUGGGACUAUCCCUGAUGCUCC
ensembl:lncRNA